GUCAUUAACCUUAUCAUUUAGAGGAAGGAGAAGUCGUAACAAGGUUUCCGUAGGUGAACCUGCGGAAGGAUCAUUGAACACACGAUCUAUGAAAAACUCUGCGAAUCGUUCUGUACAAAGAGGGAUCGUGCCCGGAGGCACGGUCGUCGGUGCCCGAGUCGAGAUUCAUGUGCGUCAGCCUUGAUCGUCCCGUUUGGUGCGCGGCGGGAUCGAGUGGC
rnacentral:rRNA from 1 species